UGUUCUGUAGCUUAGUUGGUUAAAGCGCCGGACUAGCGAUAACGGAGUCGUGGGAUCGAAUCCCACCAAAACAA
rnacentral:tRNA from 1 species